rnacentral:rRNA from 1 species
UACGUAGGGGGCAAGCGUUGUCCGGAUUUACUGGGCGUAAAGAGCGUGUAGGCGGCCAAACAGGUCCGUUGUGAAAACUGGAGGCUCAACCUCCAGACGUCGACGGAAACCGUGUGGCUAGAGUCCGGAAGAGGAGAGUGGAAUUCCUGGUGUAGCGGUGAAAUGCGCAGAUAUCAGGAAGAACACCAAUGGCGAAGGCAGCUCUCUGGACCACAACUGACGCUGAGGCGCGAAAGCUAGGGGAGCAAACAGG